UCAAUUUCUUCAGAGAAAAAGAGAAAAACUGCAUGUGCGACACUAAAAUGGGAGAAUUACUAAGGCAGAGAAACGAAAAGAUGUUGAAUAAUCAUUAUCCAUGUGGAUGCAAGAAGCCAAUGCGAUUGAUGCAAAAUAAAAUUACAAUACCGAUGAUUUCAAAUAAUUUCAAGUAUAAGAAGUCUUAUUCGAAAAGUCGUUGUUGCAUCAGAAGAAAUUCUUGCUAAAAAAAAACAAAUGAUAACUGUCCUUUGCUUGAAAUAUAUUGAGAGGAUACUGAACUGCUUUUUAAACUUGCUCAGGAUCGAUAAUGACCGGAAGCCUAAUUAGGCGCAGGAACGACGUCUUUUUCGUAGUUCAACUCACUGUUAAGGAUAAAAACUAAACUAAAAAAAUUGUCCAAAAAAGGACUAAUCCUGUAAAGAUUAAGCGAGUGACAAUGAAUUUGGCUGCAAUUAUUUACUUGUAUAUUCAAUAUAAUUUAGCAGAUAAUUAUAUACAUACUUAUAUAUGUAUACUUCGAGUUAUACAAAAUUAAACGAUGAUAUAGGAUGUUGUCAAUAUGGCCAUCUAAUUGAUAGAAGUAAACACCUCUGAUUAGUUUAUUUUCUCAUACUGUUAGAGACCGUCAAUCCUGGACAAAUUUUUGUCAAAUUUGUUACCAAAAAUAUUCCGCGGGCACGAUGGUAAUUGAAAAGCGGUGAGAUUAUCAACUAUGAAUAGAAAUUUGUGACUGUUAAAAUAAAUAUUUAUAUAAUUCAAUAUUUUAGACAAUAUAUGAAUAAUUGUAAGACUAAUAUAGUAUCAUAAAUAUUGCUUCAAAUCUUUUCCAAUUUUUUCUGUACAAUUAUCAACUCUGUCUGUUUUAAAUGUACAUACAUGUCUAUGAAACUUCAGGCUAAUAAAAUUGGUACUAUAUUAUCAAUGUCUUAUUUUUAAUCACUUAAAUUUUAAUAUUAAAGAUGCAAACUCCCAUAAGGAUGUCGGUCUUUAAUAUUUCGUCCGUGGCUAUGCAACUUAUGUCAUUUUAUGUGUGAUGCAAUGAAUAAAGAAUGUCAGGAAAGAGUACAUGGCAAAACGAAUUAAUCUGAAAUAGUUUAGUUUGAUGACGUAUUUCCCUGGCGGAUUAAUUUGACUAAAUAUAAACAGAAAUUAGACUUAUAUUGAACUUAUUUUAGAUGCGUUUUGUUAGAACAUCUCUAUUAGUCUUAUUUUUAAAUCUUCUUUAGUCAAAUAUCCGUCUACAUUGCUUAAGUAUUGUCUACACUGUCGAAAAACGCUGUUUAGUCAGCUUGAGACUUGUGUAAUUUAUUCCAGGAUAGCAAACCUAGUAAAAAGGAAUUGAAAAAAUUUGGACUAUUUCGGUAUCUAAUGUCGCUUACUUUUUACAUUAAUCUUAUAUUAUGUGAUUACCUAAGCCAUAGUUACGUUUAUUAUAACAUUGUUUAACUCCUGCAAUCGGAAAAGCGGUAAUCUAUACUUUUGUCACUCACCGGCAAUGUUGCUUAACUUCGAAGAUCGUAU